AUUGAACGCUGGCGGCAUGCUUUACACAUGCAAGUCGAACGGUAACAGGCCGCAAGGUGCUGACGAGUGGCGAACGGGUGAGUAAUGCAUCGGAACGUGCCCAGUCGUGGGGGAUAACGCAGCGAAAGCUGCGCUAAUACCGCAUACGAUCUGUGGAUGAAAGCGGGGGACCGUAAGGCCUCGCGCGAUUGGAGCGGCCGAUGUCAGAUUAGGUAGUUGGUGGGGUAAAGGCUCACCAAGCCGACGAUCUGUAGCUGGUCUGAGAGGACGACCAGCCACACUGGGACUGAGACACGGCCCAGACUCCUACGGGAGGCAGCAGUGGGGAAUUUUGGACAAUGGGCGCAAGCCCGAUCCAGCAAUGCCGCGUGCAGGAAGAAGGCCUUCGGGUUGUAAACUGCUUUUGUACGGAACGAAACGGUCCUGGUUAAUACCCGGGGCUAAUGACGGUACCGUAAGAAUAAGCACCGGCUAACUACGUGCCAGCCGCCGCAGUAACAC
rnacentral:rRNA from 1 species